AGUCGAGCGAAGCUUUUCAGUAGUUUACUACAGAAAAUGACUGAGCGGCGAACGGGUGAGUAACGCGUGAGCAAUCUACCUUAGUUACAGGGAUAGCCCGAGGAAACUCGGAUUAAUACCUGAUAUUCUUUAUUUCUCGCAUGAGAAUAAAAGGAAAGGUCAGCCGAACUAAGAUGAGCUCGCGUUCUAUCAGCUAGUUGGUGAGGUAAAAGCUUACCAAGGCUACGACGGAUAGCUGGUCUGAGAGGACGAUCAGCCACACUGGGACUGAGACACGGCCCAGACUCCUACGGGAGGCUGCAGCAGGGAAUAUUGUGCAAUGAACGAAAGUUUGACACAGCGACACCGCGUGUGGGAUGACGGAUCUAGGUUUGUAAACCACUUUCAGGAGGGAAGAAAAUGACGGUACCUCCACAAGAAGCCCCGGCCAACUACGUGCCAGCAGCCGCGGUAAUACGUAGGGGGCGAGCGUUGUCCGGAUUUAUUGGGCGUAAAGAGCUCGUAGGCGGUUCAACAAGUCGGUAGUAAAAGUUCAGGGCUCAACCCUGAAAUGUCUAUCGAUACUGUUGUGACUAGGAUACGGCAGAGGUGAGUGGAUUUCCGAGUGUAGCGGUGAAAUGCAUAGAUAUUCGGAGGAACACCAAUUGCGAAGGCAGCUCACUGGGCCGCUAUCGACGCUGAGGAGCGAAAGCUAGGGGAGCAAACAGGAUUAGAUACCCUGGUAGUCCUAGCUGUAAACGAUGGAUACUAGACGUAGGAACUGGAUUGACGGUUUCUGUGUCGUAGCUAACGCGUUAAGUAUCCCGCCU
rnacentral:rRNA from 1 species